GGGGGGAUACCAGAGCGGCCAAAUGGGACAGACUGUAAAUCUGUUGUCUUGCGACUUCGGAGGUUCGAAUCCUCCUCCCCCCACCA
rnacentral:tRNA from 1 species